GAUUCCCUGAGUAACGGCGAGCGAAAGGGGAAACGUCCAGCGCCAAGUCUUGACAUCCAUGGUGUUCAAGAGAUGCGGUGUUAAUGUUUUGCAGCAUCAUGCACUGUUCUAGAUUUCAAGUUCCCACGACCGGGACUUCCAAAGCGGGUGUUAGGCCCAUAGAGAUCGGGAACCAGUGUAUGCUGGCAAGGCAUUCUAGAGUCAGGUUGCUUGAGAGUGCAGCUUAAAGUCGGUGGUAAACUCCAUCCAAGACUAAAUACUACAGCGAGACCGAUAGCAAACAAGUACCGUGAGGGAAAGUUGCAAAGCACUUUGAAGAGAGAGUUCAAAAGUACGUGAAACCACUUGCAGGCAAACAGAUGGAACCACGAAGUGUGCGCCUCGGUCGAUUCAAUCACCAUUUCCGAUCAGUCGGRUUGGUUGCGGUGCUUUUCGGAGUGCAAACCAAAACGACUACCGAUUGGCAAUGGUGGUGCAUUUCGUGCCGGGGAUGCUAAGCCACGUUCAACCAUGUAACUGGGACGGCCGUAAGACAGGAACGGAGAAAGGUGGCUGUCAGGUGCUUGCACUUGAUAGUGUUAUAGUCUCCGUUCGGCACCGUCGCCUAGUAUGAUGGUUGAUAAAAGUUCUCCGUAAGGAGUGUAGCCGCGUUAGCCUGUGGCCGAUAGUCGGUGUUGCGGAGCGUUCUUUGCGUAUCUUUCGAUGCGAAAAGGCGUUCCAAAAAUGCCGGCUAUCGGUUGCUUGCCAGACGUGGCAAAACUGUGGCGCGAGUAGGUCGGUCUCCAUCUGACCCGUCUUGAAACACGGACCAAGGAGCCUAUCAUAUACGCGAGUCGCUCGGUCUUGUUUAGGCCUGAGAGGCGUAAUGAAAGUAAACGUUACGAGGCUUCGGUCGCAGUAAUGGCUCGCUUACUUCGUUUUUUCGGCGAUAUGGCGAAGCUGGAGCGUAUACGAUGGUACCCGAAAGAUGGUGAACUAUGCCUGGGCAAGACGAAGCCAGAGGAAACUCUGGUGGAGGUCUGUAGCGAUUCUGACGUGCAAAUCGAUCGUCAGACCUGGGUAUAGGGGCGAAAGACUAAUCGAACCAUCUAGUAKCUGGUUCCCUCCGAAGUUUCCCUCAGGAUAGCAGGCGCUUAAUGAAAAACAGUCUCAUCCGGUAAAGCUAAUGAUUAGAGGUCUUGGGGUUGAAACGACCUCAACCUAUUCUCAAACUUUAAAUGGGUGAGAUGGUUGACUUGCUUGAUUGAAGCCAACCAUUUGGAUGCAAGUGCCUAGUGGGCCAUUUUUGGUAAGCAGAACUGGCGCUGUGGGAUGAACCAAACGUCGAGAUAAGGCAUCAAAUGCGUACGCUCAUCAGACCCCAUGAAAGGUGUUGGUUGCUAUAGACAGCAGGACGGUG
rnacentral:rRNA from 1 species